rnacentral:rRNA from 1 species
AACGAAACUCGACAACGAAUAUAUUAGCUCUCGCAUCGAUGAAGAACGUAGCGAAAUGCGAUACUUGGUGUGAAUUGCAGAAUCCCGUGAACCAUCGAGUCUUUGAACGCAAGUUGCGCCCCAAGCCUUCUGGCCGAGGGCACGUCUGCCUGGGUGUCACAAA